GAUGAACGCUGGCGGCAGGCUUAACACAUGCAAGUCGAACGCAUCCUUCGGGGUGAGUGGCAGACGGGUGAGUAACGCGUGGGAACGUGCCCUUCAGUUCGGGAUAACCCAGGGAAACUUGGGCUAAUACCGGAUACGUGCGAGAGCAGAAAGAUUUAUCGCUGAAGGAUCGGCCCGCGUCUGAUUAGCUAGUUGGUGGGGUAAUGGCCCACCAAGGCGACGAUCAGUAGCUGGUCUGAGAGGAUGAUCAGCAACAUUGGGACUGAGACACGGCCCAAACUCCUACGGGAGGCAGCAGUGGGGAAUAUUGGAGAAUGGGCGCAAGCCUGAUCCAGCCAUGCCGCGUGAGUGAUGAAGGCCUUAGGGUUGUAAAGCUCUUUCGUCCGGGACGAUAAUGACGGUACCGGAAGAAGAAGCCCCGGCUAACUUCGUGCCAGCCGCCGCCGUAA
rnacentral:rRNA from 1 species